rfam:Pteropus alecto contig4877, whole genome shotgun sequence.
GGUUCCAUAGUGCAGCGGUUAGAAUGUCUGCUUUACACGCAGAAGGUCCUGGGUUCACACCCCAGUGGAGCCA